GCCAUAAUGAUAUCGUAACUCGUCUAGAUGCCUCAACUUUAAAUCAUUAUAAAUCAUUCAUUUUAUUUUAUUAUCAUUAUCACUUUAUAAAUUAUAUAUAUCUACUAUAUUUAUGCAACUACUAUAAUUUAGAAUCAUCAAGAAUCGAAGCUUCCAACACAUGUAAGUAUACAAUGCCCAUAAUUUCUAGCACAUGAAACCAAACAUUUAUAAUCAAUGCAGCUAGUUAUGAUUAGAGAUUCUUAUUUUUUAUUGUAACAAAAUUCAACCAACAUGCCAACCCAAUGCACUACACACUUAGAACACCUGAUUGAUCCCAAAUCAACAUUCGGAUAAUCCCAAAUCAAUAUUCAAUACUUAUGAAAUUUAGAAAUCAUCAUCUUUUCUAGUUUACAUAAUUAUGACCUGAUUUUCUUAAAUUCUUAAUAUCUAACUUAUCAAUUCUAUCUCCAACAUAGUAAUUAACUUAAGAAACUAAUAAACUAAAUUUUACCUAAAUUGGUAAGUCUGGAAGAGAUUCCAUGCUGAUCCUUUCCAACCAUAAUUUGCUGCCCACCUAAAUUAAAUCAAUCCCAAAAUAGAAAAUAAGAGAAGUGAAUAAAUUGCAAAUUAAUCUUUGAUCAAGAUUAAUCAUCACCAUAAGAUGUAUAGUUUGGCUUAAUUCAAGAGAUAUAAAGAUAGAAAGAGCCAUGUUUCUAUCCAUGAGGGGGAGAAAUAGAGGAUUAGGUUACUAUCAAGAGAGACAAAGGAGAGAGAAGAAUUAUUCUUCUUCUAGAGAACCAAAAGAUGGCCAUGCCAUCCUUUGUUGGGCAACACAUAUCAAGAUAGGUUGAAUUUUUGUUCUAAACUGAAAUUUACGAUAAGAAUUAGGACAAGAAUUUAGAUUUAGGGCUUAAUAGGUAAUACAAAAUCAAAAAGGCUUGACAAGGAUUAGGAAAGAAACUAGAUCUAGGGUUUAAUGGGCAAUACAACAUCAAAAAGGGUUUCGUCCUUCUUCGAAACAGAAAGUAAUCAAGAAAAAUAUAAACCAAUAAGAAGAAUAUAAAGACAAAAUGUUAGAUUUAAGGUUUACUUAAGUGGAGGAUGAAGAAGGAAUGGGCUGACAUCUAGUACAAAGGGAGAGGAGAAGAAGAGAAAAAGAAGAAGAAGAAAAUAGAGAUGUGGGGAGGGAGAGAUCGUGGAAGAGGGAGAGUAGGGGAAAAGGGGGAGAGAGA
rnacentral:lncRNA from 1 species